UACAGAGGUCUCAAGCGUUGUUCGGAUUCAUUGGGCGUAAAGGGUGCGUAGGUGGCGGGGUAAGUCGGAUGUGAAAUCUCAGGGCUCAACCCUGAAACUGCAUUCGAUACUGCCUUGCUCGAGGACUGGAGAGGAGAUUGGAAUUCACGGUGUAGCAGUGAAAUGCGUAGAUAUCUGGAGGAACACCGGUGGCGAAGGCGGCAUCCUGGACCGAGAUUGACGCUGAUGCGCGAAAGCCAGGGGAGCAAACGGG
rnacentral:rRNA from 1 species